rnacentral:rRNA from 1 species
AUACGGAGGGUGCAAGCGUUACUCGGAAUCACUGGGCGUAAAGCGCGCGCAGGCGGCUUGAUAAGUUGGAUGUGAAAGCCUACGGCUCAACCGUAGAACUGCAUCCAAAACUUUCAAGCUAGAGUCUGGGAGGGGAAGAUGGAAUUAGUUGUGUAGGGGUAAAAUCCGUAGAGAUAACUAGGAAUACCAAAAGCGAAGGCGAUCUUCUGGAACAGUACUGACGCUGAGGCGCGAAAGCGUGGGGAGCAAACAGGAUUAGAAACCCUUGUAGUCC